rnacentral:rRNA from 1 species
CCUACGGGUGGCAGCAGUGGGGAAUAUUGGACAAUGGGGGGAACCCUGAUCCAGCCAUGCCGCGUGUGUGAAGAAGGCCCUCGGGUUGUAAAGCACUUUCAGUGAGGAAGAACGCCUGGUGGUUAAUACCCAUCAGGAAAGACAUCACUCACAGAAGAAGCACCGGCUAACUCCGUGCCAGCAGCCGCGGUAAUACGGAGGGUGCGAGCGUUAAUCGGAAUUACUGGGCGUAAAGCGCGCGUAGGUGGCUUGAUAAGCCGGUUGUGAAAGCCCCGGGCUCAACCUGGGAACGGCAUCCGGAACUGUCAAGCUAGAGUGCAGGAGAGGAAGGUAGAAUUCCCGGUGUAGCGGUGAAAUGCGUAGAGAUCAGGAGGAAUACCAGUGGCGAAGGCGGCCUUCUGGACUGACACUGACACUGAGGUGCGAAAGCGUGGGUAGCAAACAGGAUUAGAUACCCCUGUAGUC